GAUCUUCAUAUAUAUAUGUAUUUAUGUAUGUUCAUCGUCAUUUAAUUUCUUAAUUAAUUAUAAUACUAUUAGGGUUGCUUCGGUGUGGUAAAAGUUGUCGACUACGAUGGAUCAAUUAUCUUCGUCCCGAUCUCAAGAGAGGAAACUUCACUGCUGAGGAAGACCAAAUUAUCAUCAAUCUCCAUACCCUACUUGGCAAUAAGUAAGUAUCAAUUUCUAAUUCCCUACUAAAGUAUACUUGGGUGGGUGAUCCCAUCUCCACAUCACACUUUUACAUAAAACAAAUAAUUAUAACAUUUCAUUAAAAAAACAAAAUGAAUUUGCAAACUUUGAUUAGACUUGGAACAAACGAAGAUAGGUGAUAUGUUUAAUCAUGAUGUAUUACGAAUUUUAUAUAUGUAAGACCAAGUCUUUUUCUCUAAAAAAAAACUAUUAAACACAUCUUGAACCAUUGUUUAAAUUAGAAUCUAGUUUCUAAUUACUUUCUAAAUUUGCUAUAAAAAACACAUACAUAUGAAACAUAAAUAUGAUCUAUUUUCAUCCCGUCCCUUGUUUUCAUAUUGUCUACCUGCUAAACUAAUGUGAUGAGAAUUUAUAAUAUGACUAACAGGUGGUCUUUAAUUGCCGCACGAUUACCUGGAAGGACGGAUAACGAGAUAAAAAACUACUGGAACACGCAUAUCAAACGAAAACUCUAUAGUCGAGGAAUCGAUCCUCAAACGCAUCGUCCAUUGGCCAAUAACAGUAGUAGCAGUACUGGCGACUUUGACCGGCGACGGGAAGAU
rnacentral:lncRNA from 1 species